GUUGGGCAGAGCCUCUCGUGAUGAUGCUUCUGUCUCUGAUGGCUGUGGUGGUGAUGAACAUCAAACCAAGGCCUCUAAGAAGUUGCCUGAGGAGGCUCUGGGCUC